GACUUGCCUUUUGCAAGAUCUGUCUCUGAAGGCUUGUUUGGGUAUUGCAUUUUCAGGUUUCAUCCACAAUCACAAGUGCUAGAAACUCAUUAAAUAAACAGAGAUGCUUCUACUAUCAGCUGACUUCAGGAGCUGGGUCUUUAGUGCAUACAUGAGUACAGCAGCAGCCUCAGCUCCAUGGCUGCUGCCUCUUCUUUCAGUGCCGUGGUCCAUGGGACUGGGAGCAGCCUUGUUGUGCCUGCAGGCUGCUGCAAUUGCUGGCCAUGCCCAGGGCGCUGUGCAUCUUUUUCUACCAGGCAUGCACUGGGAGCUUUUACAAAUGAAAUGGCUGGGUGAAAUGCUUGCUUCUCCACUCCAAUGUCAUCAGUCCGGAACAGGCAGAUCCAGCAGAAUUUUUGGAGAUGCUGAAAAAAGGGGAAAAUAGCUAGCUGGGAAAAAUACACAGUAAAGAAAGUGUAGCUGGCUUUAUCUCCUUUGUGGCAUUUUGACUGUAAAAAGUGACAUUACUGAAUUUGUAUCAACAUAUUAUUUGUUUUACUUUUAAAUAUCUGUUAGGAGCCUUUGAUCCAUGCACACUGUUGUUACCUCUUCUAUGACCCAGCAGCUGUGUGUAGGACUGCUGGACAUCUAUCCUUUUGAGGCAGCUCUAAGUGAACAGUUUUGCCUGUGAUAAUUUCCAUUGGUCAAGUCUGUGCUAAUUGAUGCACUUUAUGCUAUUGUUCUCAUGCUUAAAUAGCACCUGUGAGCAGGUUUCAUUAAAGCUGCAUCUCUAGGUGCACACUAAAUACCUUUGAUACCUCACCUGUGAUGGUGGUGGAGCUGCUAGUAAGAAUGACAGCUGCAGGCAAUAAAUGAGGACAGUAAUAGGAGGCUCAGUGCUGGGUAGAGCACCAUAAAUCAUGAGGCAAAAGCAGUAAGAGCUCUGACAAAUCGGUGAGCAGCUGCAAACAGCACUUUGCAGGAACAAUCAUUGUUAGACUGUGUGUCUGUGAUCAGGCUGUUAAGAAGUAAAUCAUGUUGUUAAUGCUGUGGAAUCUGUAUCCUGACAGCCUGGUACAAAUAUGCUGUGAGAAAGACUGAGUUUGUAUCUGUUCAUGGAACAUGAGGAAAACCAGGCUGGAAUUUGCAGGGAUGCAGCUUUCUGAUGUCUGUGGGAUUUCUGCAGAUUCCAGAAAUUAAUGAUCGCUGAUGGGCAGGCAGCAGUUUGGCUGCUCUCUGUGCCACGCAGGUCACUGGGGCAGCACAGACCUGUGGCAUUGCUUCCUGCUAGUGAUGUGUGGCCUCCUGCACUCCUCUGGGGAUCUGGGAGGCACUGCUGUUGCUCACGCUCACAAAACUUUUUGUAUCUUCCAAGCUCUUAAUCAUUGUGAAUAAAAUAAUUGUCGUGAAUAAAAUUUAGAUUAGACUAUUAAAGAUUUAAGUGUUUUAAAUCCUGAAACUCAUUCUGUCUGUAGAGUUCAAGGGUUUAUUCAUGUGCAGCACCAUGGAAAUUGCCACUGAAGGCACAUGAGCUGCCUCAUGGCUGACUCCUACCUAAGCUUUUUGUAGGGGAAGAUUAAAAUGGAUUUACUGCAUCCACUGAGUAGCCUGCUCAAAUUCAUCUGUGUGAGGUUUCAAAAUAUGUACAGUUAUUCAAGUUUCAGUCUAGUUCCUUGACAAUGUGUUUGCAGAAUGCUAACCACUUAAAAGCAGCUUGGGGUUUUAGAUUUCCACAUUGCUGCUCCUCUGUUUGCAAGCCAGGCAAUGAAGGAUAGGGCUGGUGCAUGAAGCUGACAGAGCAGCUCCUUUUCCUGACCCCAGCCACUUGAGAACCAGGUGAUGCAGUGAGCACAAGAGAGGAAAAUCAAAGUCACAAUCCUGUAAAUAUUUAUGUACGUAGUUAAGGUUAGACAUAAAAAUGGUUAUUUGAACUUAGUUGAACUUGCACAGAAAGCUAAGAAUAUGUGUAAAUAUUUGCAGUCUGGAACCUAUUUCAGAUUUGAGAAGUAUUUAAAGUACUUCAGAAUGUUUUUUUUUUUAAAUACUGCAAAGCCCUCUGCUGCAACAAGAUGCAUUCAGACAAUGCAGACCCUGCCAUGUGGGUAGUGCCUCCCAGCUGCAGCAAGCUGGAUAACUGUAGGCUUUGAACUUAUGCAGCUCUGUUGGUUUGCUCCUGUGAUGUCCUCAGCAAGAACUUGGUGUAGGAUUGGAGGGCAGGAGGCUUGGUACUGGGUCACUGAACUGCAAUGGCAGUUGUCUGAUUCAACUAAUUCUUCCCUGUCAGAUUUCUCAAGCAACUUUGAACAGAUUGCCUAGGCUCUGACUACCUGCCUGUCCCAGUCAUAAAAAUGGGGUUAACUAUACAAUCUCUCUUCCAACUUUGUCUGGACUUCCCCUGACUCUUUUUUUUUUGUGUGUGUGCUGAAGCUAGUUUUCAAAGCACUAUUGUAAGACAAGUAAACUGAGAGCUUGCAAAAUGUGCAGGUCUUUGGCUACCUGGAAAUGUGAAAGUUUGGCUUCAUUGUGUAUCUGUAAGGUUUCACAAGUGUGUGUGUCAAUCUUCUCAAGAGUUGUGAGUUAUCAUUUUUUUACUUUAAUUGCUUAUUAGUUCUUGUUACAAUGGAAGCAGCACUAUCCUAGCAACCUGCUGGCUUCGUUUGUGCUCUGUGUAUGUGUGUACAGACAUACUUUUUAGUAGUGAGCAGCUGCAGGCAUGUGCAAGCCAGCCUUGUGCCGAUGUAGCUCCAGCUCUCGCCCACCCACCCACUUUCCUUCCUUCCUUCCUUCUGUGGAGAACUGGCAACCAGACAGCCUCAGCGCCUGCGCUGUGCAGGCAAUGGCCUGCCAGGGGGAUGGAUAGGGGAGAGCAUUUGGGUGCCAGAGCAGUAUCUCAUUAGGCUUUUCUUAGCAUAUUUUACAAGUCUGUGGACAAACAGUAGUUAAGACUUGGAUGGAAAAAAAUUUAUGUGCUCCCUGCAGAAAAGGGGAAUGGAGCUGUGUCUGGGUGCUGCUGCUGCUCCCAGGCUCAUCCCCAAAGAUACUGGGGCUGUGCACUGUGCCCUGAGGAGCCAGAGGGCAGGGGAGAUAGAAUGUUCUGCCCAAGACAAGUUAUGAAAACCCAGUUCAAUUAAUUUGCUGCUUUCAUCUCGGAGACGAGGUUUAAGAGCACAGAGUACAAAAUACUGGAUUGUGUGUGCGUGGUGCAAAUGUGAAAUUGGACUGAAUUUAUUCCUAACUGUUUUAAUGAAUGGCAAUUUUGUUAAGUCAUAUGUCUGAGUCAGCUGACUUUAAUGAUGUUUUUAAGCAAGGGUUAGAGAAAGCAUUCAGCUCAUAUUUCCUUGUUGCUGUCGCUGCAUUUUAGCCUAUUAGGGUCUUAAUGAUUGUUUUCCUUUCUUAAUCACAAACAAGAUGACUUUGGCAGUUGGUGACCCUCCUGCAGUCUCUGGUGUAGUUGUGGUUUGGAGGUCACUUCUGGCCCUGCAAAGAGGCAGCAAGCGGGGCAGUGUGAAGGGAUUACCAUCCAGCAGGAGCAGGGCACUGGUUUGGAGAGCCUAGCAUUGUAGGAGCGGGUACAAAGCAGCUGGUCCCCUGCUUGGGCACAUCUUGCUGUACAACUGGAAGCUGAAUGGCCUUGCUUUGGUGGGGGAAAGCUGGCCAUAAUACAUGGGGCAAGCAGGCAGGGGUCUGCUUUGGGUGCCUUUCAGAAAACAAGUGGUUAAAUGUGGGCCCGUGUCUUCUUACAUGCGGAAGAGCUGUAAAUAAGUAGCACCAAGGCUGCCUGACCCACAUCACGCUUGCUGGCCAGAGAAAUACUCAGCGUUCUUGGGCAGCCCAUACUUGGCGCUGUGCUCUGCCUCUGUGCUCUGCAGCUGCUGGGCUGCAGUUGCAGAGUUGAUGAAUAAAACUGACACGGACAGCUUGUAGGUGUAGGCUUAUUUUAUUAUCUUUUUCUUAAUUUGUGAAGGGGGAAAUAAUCUGGGAUUGGCAUGCAAAGAGGCACUGUGUAUGAAUUCCAGCAGUAGUCUGUAAAUGGGUGCCUUGGAAAAGAUGCUUGACUCUGGAGCUUGUGAAGUAUUGAAGUGACUCAGUCUGUUUUUCCUCUGCGUGAAUGGUGAGGGGUAUGUGGGGUAGCUGUAAGAUCUCCUUGUGAGUGUUGGUGGGUCUUGCUGCUUCCCGUGCUGUUGGCUGUGAGGCUGUGACUGUGUGAGCAGUGUUCUUGUUUACAUUGGUCUGCUUUCAGCCUGUCGCAGUAAAUCUAUUUCACUUGUCACUUUGUAAAUCAUUAUAUAGGAUUAGGCCUUUUACCAGCUUUUAAGAAUUCUGCCAUCAUUGUAAGAACUUCCCCCUGCCUGGCUGAGCUGAGCAGCGUUCCUCCUUGCUGAAGCAGUGCUAAGUGUGAGGAGGAGGAAACGCUCCCUGGAAGGUAACCGACAUUUUCAAAAGUGCUGUUCCACAAAAGGCACUUUGAACUGUGCUAAACCUUUAGAAGUUGAAUAAUAUUUUGAAUGUUACUGUUCUAAUGUUUUCCUAUUGUCAUGGAAGACUUGGAUCAAGUCCCAGGGCUGUGGUUAACUUUGCCUCCAGUCUUAGUCCUUAUUUACUACUGCUGGGGAGAUGAACUUAAAGCUAUUCCAGCUUUUUUUUUUUCCACUGCUAAAGUCAGUCUUAAAGUGUUCUAAGACCUUUUUUAAAAUAGAAUAAGCUGAAAGAUGGCUGAUGUUCUAGCUGAAGGUUGCAGUGGGGUGCUCCCUCCCACAUACUGUCCAGAUUGCCUUGCACUGUGUGGUGGCCAGCUGGACCUGAAACAUCCCUGGGGAGCUUGAUAAUAUGUGUAACAAAGGUGAGCCAGGCAAGUGUUGUUUAUCCAGUCUUUAAUGCUUCUGAUUCUUCAGAGUUGUAGUUGUAAACUCGUCGAUGUUUGAUGUUCCAUUUGUUAGGUAAAUAUCAGUGAACAUUGGGGAUGGUGAUGGGUGACGGCCUGAAAGUUAGAAGGGGAGUGCUUGGCAGAGGGUACAGCUCAGUUUGUGGUGUUUUGAUAAACAAAGGUGAAUCCAUUUCUAUCUCAGGGCCCACUGAAGGUGCAGCAGGAGGAGCAAUUUCAGUGGGACAGGGGUUUUUGGGAACUGCUGUCAAUAAAUACUUCGAUACUUAAUAUAAUAAGUAGUUUGAUACUUAGUACUUUCAAGUUCUCAGGAAGCAGAUUGAAACAUAGUAACAAAAUUCAGUGUCCUCUUAAAUGUUGGUCAGAUCAGGACCUUCGUUGUGAAGUACGUUUUCACCCCUUGCCCUGUGAGUUUGUUUGGCAGAAGGUAUGAUUUUAUUUGACAUCAGAUAAUCCACAUGCGGUUGUCAUGACGGUAUUUGAACUUCUGCUAUGAAGACGCAGGGCUUAAGGUUUCAAUUGGUCAGUGAGGUCUCCAAGGGCUCAUUUUCCAUUUAUAUAUACUUCCUGUCCAUCCCCAGGAGCCUAAUUAUUAAUGUAAUAGUAUGUAGUAAUAGCUUAUCGGACCAGAUUAUGUUAGUGUAACUUGCUUUUACCAUAUGUCAUUGUAUGUUAAAAGCAUUUGUUGGUUUAAAUUGAAAGCUUGGUGUGUUUCUCUACUGAGUAACUGUUCCUUUUCAACUUCCUAAAGGAUAGAAAUCUUUUUCUGCUUAAUAAUGCUAAAUGUGUGCUGUGUACAGAACAGAAGUGGUUUUGGAGUUGCAUUUUUUGGCCCAGGUGAAAAUGUAAUAAAUGAAGUGUGAGGCAGAGGAAGGGGAAGAACCUAAUCAGAUGCUAAAGAGACUUCAUGAAUAUUAAGUACUUUCCACUUAAGCAGUCUUUUUAAUAAUCUGAAACAUUAAUAGCAGUAUGACUGCCUGCAUCUACACCAGCUGUGUAAGGGAGAUAAAAGUCCCAGUUUAACGUGAUUUUUAUCAGCUUGCUCAUGCUGGUGUCUGACCUACGGAAGUUGUCAAUUUGCAUGUUGGAAAAUAGCUUUUUAACAAACAGGACUGGCAGUAUGUACGAAUAAGUAGCCUAAGUGUCACUUGAUUCUUGAUCUAGGGAAUGAAAGAGUAACUGCUGGUAGUUCAAAUACUUCAGGUUUUUGUUUCCUUCCCUCCCUCUCCAAAGUAUUCAGCCUUAGUGCCUAGAGUUAUCCUUAGUCAAGAAUAAACUUGUAAAUGCAUGUUGAAUAUUUUCUGGUAACUAAUUAUAGUAACUGUUUGUUCCCAAGUUAAUGAAUUCCCUAUAAGAGUUGCCUGCAUUCAGCCUAUUACAUGUAUUGCAAAAUAAUGACUGCAGUUUUUUUGAUGUGUAUGCUGUAAAUGUAAGCUGUGGCAGUACUGUAAAAGCUUUACUCGUGAUUGUUCUCUAAGCUGUCUGUGGAUUUAUACUCUUUUCCAUCAGGAAGAUGCUUGGAAAGAUUUGUUUCCUUGAACCAAUUCUGUUUUCCUGCCUGGUUUGCUUGCUCUUUUGGAUACCCCAAAAGGGAAUUCUAACAAGAUGCCUUUAACUUAUGAAACCUAGUGUGAAUAUGGGUGAAAGCUUCAUGUUCUUAAAUGGAUAAGUAGAUAGUGGUUUAAAAAACAAACAAACAAAAACAACAACAACAACAAAGAACACAACACAAAACUAACACCAGCACAAACCAAAACUCCAGCUUUGGGUUUGUCUGUGCUGUUUCCUGCUUAGAAUGGCUGGUCUGCUCUGCCCCUUCCUCUGACAUUUCUUCUCCUGUUUGGGAGUGGCUGAACUGCUGAACUGGUCGGCUGCCUGUAUGAAGUGAGCUCGAACCUGUUUCAUUUGCUCUUUGCAUUGCAUGCUGUGAUCUGUGAAGGAUCAGCAGCAGCCGGGCUGUCCCUCUGGCACAUGUUGGGUGAGCAUUUGGGAUCAUGGAUCUAACUACAAACUUGUGAAUCAACACACAGUAAAAACUGGGAUCCGUUUCAGCCGAUACUGUAAUGCAGGUAAUUAAUCUGUCCAGAUACACUCACUCUUUGUUUAGGGAGUGGAGUCUGGGAGUAGAAUGCAGGCUAAGGCAAUCUGAAGUAUGUUCCUCAAAAACUAAUGUAUUGCACACCUCUAAAAAUAGCGGACUGCAAGAAAAUAAAUAAAAAGGAACAGCAUUUCCUGCAACUUGUUUGUGUAAGGUCUGGUCUGUGUUACGCAUCUGGAUGCAGCUUCUUGCUGUCUCAGUACAUUUGCUAGUCAGGAGCUCUGUCUACGAUGUUUGUGAUUUGAGGUUGUGCUGUGGAGCUAGCAGGGAGUUACUACAGAAUCGGAUAUGAUACUCUCUCCUGUAGCAGUUAUUUUUUUUAAGCAUUCAUAUUGGUCUGUUUAAAAAAAUCUCUCUUCUUAUUAACUCAAAUUAAUUUCUUACAGAAUUCAAAAUAACAACGUUGCUGUUGUCAAUUAAAAAAAGAAGAGCAAAUGGGGAAGAGUCUUAUUCUCUGGCAGUUCUUGCUUGUUCCAUGUAUACUACUCUUGUUACUAUUACAGACCAUACCUGUUAAAAUAAGCAAGUAAAACACUUAAUUAUAAAUACUUGAUAAUAUUUGGUCUGUGACUUGGGAGAAGCUGAAGUUAAAUUUAAAGAAAAAUAGAGAAAACUUUCUCUUCUGCUUUCUGAGGGAAUGUGGAGCUUUAAAAAGUCUAUCCUUAAAACUGCUAUAGCUUUUAUUUGUUCUUUCAGUUCAUAGAAGCAACAGGAGCAAUCCUAUGUUUCAUUGCUAUGCUCACUAGAGGGGAAAACAAACAAGCAAAAAAAAAAAAAGUAACUUUGGGAACUUCUGGGAAUGGCCACUGAAUAUUUCAGGGAGAUGCUUUCCUGAAUGAUAUUUGAAACUUCAGUGUAUAUGUAUGCUGAUUUGGUCACGAUACAGAAAAGUCACUACAGCUUGAUUUGGUACUUUGCAUGAUUCCAUCCUUUUAGUAGCUGUGAUGGUCAUGUUCUCGGUUUUCUUUGCUUUUCAGUAAAGAAGGUCUAUGAUGAAAAGAUUAGUGUAAACUGAGCUGUUUGUAACACAAAAAUGUGUUCUUGUUCUUUAUGGUACCUGGGGAAACAAUUACAGUCUACAUGGUAAUAUAACCAAGUUACGCGCUCUCCCACACCCAUGAUUUUAUCUAGUGUCAACAGCAGGGAUUUAUAAGACUCUAGGAAAAUGACUUUUCUGGGAGCUGGAGGCAUCAUGGGUCUCUUUGUAGCUUUCUUGUCCAAAUUAGUGAAUAUUAGUGGGACGCUAUUUAUCACACCAUGAUGUGUAAGCCCUCCUAGUUACAGACCAAUAACUCAUGGGUUACGCAGUGGUAUCUAAGUGAUUUGGAGCUCUCCUGGAGGGAGAAUGGAGCAGCAUGAAGCUGUGGUAACCAUAUUUUGCCUUAGCAUUUUGUGCAUCAGCUGUGUAGCGUUUUUAGUUAUUGCUAAAUUUGUGGUAGGAAGCUGCCUGAAAUGAAAUGUGAGGAACUCUGUAUAAUAAUAAAAUCAAUUGGACUGUUUCCCCAGUAAUUCUAGAGACUGAUGCAUCAUUAAUGUUGGUAAUACAGUGGCUGUCAGAUCACAAACUUCUCAAUAAAUGUGCAGCUGGCAGGCUUUGAUGGAAAUUGGAGGCAAGCAGAGAAUGAGAUUUAGAGCUUUGAUAUAUGGGAUGUCAGCCAUGCAAUGAAGUUUUUAUCAAUUUCUGUCACUUCUAUCUCUUAUGCUCGCUACAUAUGUGGUCUUCCUUGCAGUUUCUGUUGGUGGCUGAAACGAUGACUGUACCUUUCUAACGUUUAGUAAUGGAGAUAGUAGUUAAAAGAAGAGCCCAGGUCACAUUUGAAUAUGUUGCUUUGUUACGUAGCAACACUGUCAGAAAUGUAAUGCCAUAAUCAGCUCCUACACUCUCAGUGAUUUAUUAUUGGUAAUAAUAUUUCUGAUGGAAAUGGAAAGCAGAGCUAGUCAUCAAGGAACUCGCACUAACAGAAGGGCACGGCAGUUGUUCCAUAUCCUGAUUUACUACCUGUGCUGGGGAGGCAUCAGGAAAACCAGUUGAGUGG